GGGGUUGUAGCUCAAUUGGCAGAGUUCUUGCCUGGCAUGCAUUAGGCCCUGAGUUCGAUCCCCGUGUGCCUG
rnacentral:tRNA from 1 species